GCACCCGUAGCUCAGCUGGAUAGAGGAUCAGUUUGCGGUACUGAGGGUCGCAGGUUCGACUCCUGCCGGGUGCGCCA
rnacentral:tRNA from 1 species